UACGUAGGGUGCAAGCGUUGUCCGGAAUUACUGGGCGUAAAGCGCGCGUAGGCGGCUUUACAAGUCGGGUGUGAAAUCCCCAAGCUUAACUUGGGAACUGCAUUCGAGACUGCAUUGCUAGAGUAUGGGAGAGGGAAGUGGAAUUUCCGGUGUAGCGGUGAAAUGCGUAGAUAUCGGAAGGAACAUCAGUGGCGAAAGCGACUUCCUGGACCAAUACUGACGCUCAUGUGCGAAAGCGUGGGGAGCAAACAGG
rnacentral:rRNA from 1 species